AGAGUUUGAUCAUGGCUCAGAUUGAACGCUGGCGGUAUGCUUAACACAUGCAAGUCGAACGGUAACAGGAAAAGCUUGCUUUUCGCUGACGAGUGGCGGACGGGUGCGUAAUGCGUAGGAAUCUCCCUAGUAGUGGGGGACAACUCGGAGAAAUUCGAGCUAAUACCGCAUAAGCCCUACGGGGGAAAACGGGGGAUCUUCUGACCUCGUGCUAUUAGAUGAGCCUACGUUAGAUUAGCUUGUUGGUGAGGUAAAAGCUCACCAAGGCGACGAUCUAUAGCUGGUCUGAGAGGAUGAUCAGCCACACUGGGACUGAGACACGGCCCAGACUCCUACGGGAGGCAGCAGUGGGGAAUAUUGGACAAUGGGCGAAAGCCUGAUCCAGCAAUACCGCGUGUGUGAAGAAGGCCUGAGGGUUGUAAAGCACUUUCAAUUGGGAGGAAUACCUAAUGGUUAAUAGCUAUUAGAUUGAC
rnacentral:rRNA from 1 species